CUGAGAGGAGAGGCCUGUGUGCCACCCAGAGUUCUCACCCUUCACCUGGUGUGCAAGUCAGCCCUCUGCUUCUUCCCUUCACCACCCUCUGCAGAGAAAAACUGAAGAGCUCCAAGGUGGUGGCCAGCCCCAGCAGAGUACCACUCAGUUCUGACUUUUGGUGGAACCAGGGAUUGAACCUGGGACUUCUGCUGUCUCAGGCAUGAAAGCAUUCUGCACUAGGCUAUCUCUCUAGUCCCAAGAAACUGCACUUCAAUCAAAGCUCACGAGACUCAGGGCCCAAGCUUCCUGGCAGAGAGCAAGGCUGAUUCAGAGCCAUCAAUGCCAACCAUUUCUCUUUGCCGCAUAGUGUAAUUUACUGCAGGUUCCAGGAAUUUGAGGAUGAACACCUUUGGCCCAGGACACUGCUUUGUCUUCCAUCCUCAAGGCCGACUCACAGCCCAUUACAGCUGAUAGCUUCUAAAAUGUCUACUGUGGUGUCAGACUUCCAGGCAACAGGAAGGAUGUGGAAAGCUAGUUCUUUCUCACCCAACAUUUCUGCCAACAUCUCCUUGGCCAGAAAUGAGUCCCAUGGACACAUCAACCUUCAAGGAAGACUGGGAAGUGUGACUUUUACCCUAGUGGCAAAAUGGGCAUGGAGUGGAUGGCGGCGAAGGACAGAGGAGCUCUUCCCCAGGAAUGGUCUAAUAUAAACAACAAUAACCCUAAUCAUACUCCAGGCUUUUAUGGGACCUUUCAUCGAGGAACCAAAAACACAUUACAAGCAUUAACUCAUUAAUCUUCACAGCACCCCUGUGAGAGAGAAUUAAGUGUAAGUAAUCAUAAUUAUUACUGUCAUUAUCCUUCAAACAAUUCCCAGAUGUGCCGUGGCUGAACUGGCCUGCUUGGGGAAUUUUUUUUUUUUUUUUUUUUAAUAGUGAACCUAGAUUUUUGGCAGGAGUUUGACCAUCUUCACUCUCUUAUUCUUUUAUUUUCUUAUCUGCUUUUACUUACUAAAUAUAUAUGGAAUGUUUGAAUUUGUGCGGCCCCUGGAAGAAAUGAAAGGGAACAGGGCCCUGUCCAUGGAGGUCCUUGCCUCUGCUUUGGCCCGCAGAGAAGUCAGUUGCUGCGCAGAGGCCUCAGAAGUGAUCCCAGAUGUCAUUUGCUAACUAGGUUGGAGCUGUUGAUGAUUUCAACCUUAUCUCUUCGGACAAUAUGUUCUCAAAACAUGUCACCUCUCAUGAAGCUGAUGGAGGAAGUACUCAGCAGACAAAGUAGGGGCACCAAGAAAGGAAUUCGGGGUGACCAGGAAAGAGGGACUGACAAGAAUGAAGGGACUUCCACGAUGAAGGUGAUGGGAGGAGCCAGGAAGCCAGCUGUGGAGCUUUCAGAACAGCCUUCUGGUUGGAUCUGGGAGACUGAAGAUUCUGGGCAGAGUGCCCAAA